CGGGACGGGUGAGUAACGCGUGAGGAACCUGCCUUGAAGAGGGGGACAACAGUUGGAAACGACUGCUAAUACCGCAUAAGCCCACGGCUCGGCAUCGAGCAGAGGGAAAAGGAGCAAUCCGCUUUGAGAUGGCCUCGCGUCCGAUUAGCUAGUUGGUGAGGUAACGGCCCACCAAGGCGACGAUCGGUAGCCGGACUGGGAGGUUGAACGGCCACAUUGGGACUGAGACACGGCCCAG
rnacentral:rRNA from 1 species